ACUGAUUUGUAAAGUAGCAAUUUACAGUAUACGUCAAAGACACUUGAUGCAUGAAUUUAUCAGCAAUGAAUGACAUUGUAUCUCUUGCCGCUAAUAUCAUUGAAAACAUCGAUUUGAAAUGGCUUUAAAGUUUGAAGAAUUCCAAUCCAUCUGGUAAACUCCUUGUGUAGAGAUUGGAUUAUUGUCCAAUAUCUAAACUGCCCUUGACAUCAGAAGUAAGUUUGUUAUUUUAUGUUGUUAUUUACAAAUAUUAUGAAAUAUCCUAUAAAUGCAUAUACAUGCACAUAUAUAUAUGUACAGAUACAUCUCUAAUGUUAACAAUUUACCUAAAUACAACUGUGUGCCGUGAGUAGAAUCUAAUUUAAUGCGAUUUCGAAUUUGACUUUUAGACAAUACAGACAUCUGACAUAUAUCUAUAUAUUCAGCCCUGUCGUGUUUGAUGCGUUGCUAAUUAAGGUGUUAUAUGUAGAACGUGGAAAUAGUCAUAUCAUUCUCAUACAGCUGACAAUGCGAGUCAACUGAAUCUUUGCGUGAUCCUGAUAAAUUGUAAAGUUGUGAUUUUGACCUGAGGUAAACUUGCACAACAAUUUAAUAUUAGUUAUUGUUUCAAAAGUGUCAUGCAUGUAUCUUCAUUUGAUAAGGAAAAAUGAUGAUACCUUUAUACAUUUCAAAUGAAUUUCCGUAAUGUAACAUAUAUUGCAAAACAGCAAAACACUUUUUUUUUCAUUCAUGUAUUGAAAUACAUCAAACGAACACACAAUGAAAAGUGAUGAAUUAAAAAAAGCUCACAAAUCAAUAAAACCACGGAGGAUUCAUCGAUGCACUGCUACCUAGAGAUCGUGAGAAACGUGUAUCCCUGUCCUUAUCCCUGGUGGGCAUUUAUAUCCAUAUAUUCAACUCUGGUGUGUAUUUAUAUUCCAUUUGUCAAUCCUGGUGAGUACAACUAUUUCUUUCUCUAUAGAAUAAGCUACUAUAGAACUAAACGUCCAUAAACUACACCACUAUGUACAAGUUACACGUUUACCUUUUGCUUGGUAUCUACAAGAUUUAAUUUUACUCGGUAUGUGUAUGCCAUACAUUUACUUUGUAUAGAUCUACAUGGUAUGUGUUUACUUGGUAAGUACAAGGUAUAAGUGUUCUUGGUAUGUAUAAGUCAUGUGUUUACAUCGUAUACACAAGUUACACGUUUAACUUUUGCUUGGUAUCUACAAUGUUUAAUUUUACUCGGUAUGUAUAUACAUGUAUCAUACAUUUACUGUGUAUCUACAUGGUAUGUGUCUACUUGGUAAGUACAGGGUAUAAGUGUUCUUGGUAUGUAUAAGUCAUGUGUUUACACCGUAUACACAAGUUACACGUUUAACUUUUGCUUGGUAUCUACAAUGUUUAAUUUUACUCGGUAUGUAUAUACAUGUAUCAUACAUUUACUGUGUAUCUACAUGGUAUGUGUUUACUUGGUAAGUACAAGGUAUAAGUGUUCUUGGUAUGUAUAAGUCGUGUUUACACCGUAUACACAAGUUAUUCGUUCACUCGCUAUGCGCGUAUUUUGUACGUCUGGGGAGAUGAGGGAUGGAAUAAAGAAUUGCAUUGCUUGCAUGUUUAAAUUGUACUUAUUGCAAUGACGGCACUAAUCACAUACAUGGGAUAUCGUAAGUUUUCAAUAUUUAUUUUAUUAUUUAUUUCUAUUAUCGUAUUUGAACAUUUCAGGAGAUCAGAAAAGUAGAUAUGUAAAUGACUGUGGUUCAACAAUGGCGCGAUCUGCUGUGAUCUUUUGUUUUUGGAGCGGGUCAGAUACUGACGGGCAGAUUUUCAGACAACUACAUAGUCCCUUGGGGAUCCGGGUUAGAAUAGGUCCUCAGUACCCCCUUUCUUGUCGUAAGAGAGGACUAAAUCUGGCGGUCCUUCGGAUGAGACCGUAAAAACCGAGGUCCCGUGUCACAGCAGCUGUGACACGAUAAAGAUCCCUCGCUGCUCAAUGGUCAUAAGCGCCGAGGAUAGGCCUAAAUUUUGCAGCCCUUCACCGGCAGUGGGGACGUCUCCAUAUGAGUGAAAUAUUCUGGAGAGGGACGUUAAACAAUAUUCAACCAAUCAUAUUAUUUUUCUGUUGAAUUCAAUUUUGUCAUUUUCUGUAGAUACAAAUUUCUCACAAUGCCUCUUUGUCAUUAUGGAGCUUUUACAUUUUACCGAAAUAUCGUUGAAAUUUUUAUUUCAGAUUAAAAUUCAGACACACAGAUGGGUUUCGAACAUUCCAUUCUUCAUAGAAAUCAAAGCUGGUUCCACUAAGCCGCUGGCGUUGACGACAUUUGUUGAAAAAAUAUAUACAGAUGUUCUAUAUGCAAAUCGUAACCUGUUUGGCAUAUAUGGAACCAUUUCCCCUGACAUUCAAAUUCUGCCCGGGAAUAUUUCAAGAACGAUAUGUUGAGGAGUGUUUACAAAUGAUGAAUACUGGAUAGUACGAGAUAAGCAUUAUAUCACCAAUAAGAGAAGGAGCAAUUUCGGCAUUUGAUGAUUUGCACCCUGUCCACUGGACAUGCCACUACUGCCACUCCAGUUCACUCGGUUAUACAUUGAAUUAGUAUUGGCUUCGGCUGGAGGGAGAGGUCAGCCUGUGAUGGACUGGUGUCUCAUUCUGCGGGAAUUUGUUCCUCUUAUCCGUUAACCACUUAACAUUCCGACGAACUACCAUAACCUGCAUUCCCUAUGGUGAACUGAAAAUACUUCAAGUGAAAAGUGCAACAGGAUGACAAAGACAUCUAAUGAUAGAGACGUCACCAAUGCCGGUGAAGGGCGGCAAAAUUUAGGCCUAUGCUUGGAGUUUACAGCCUUUGAGCAGGGAAUCUUGAUCCUGACACACCUGCUGUGACAUAGGGCCUCGGAUUUUGUUGUCUUAUCCGAAGGACCGCGCCAUUUAGUCGCCUCUUACGACAAGCAGGAAUACUGAGGACCUAUUCUAACCCGGAGCACGGAGGUUCAUCGGCCAUAAUCAGAUCCACAAAAAUUCCACAGGAAACCAACCAACAGGACGGACACAGAAUUGUGUACACUCGAUUUAAGAUGCAGAUAUUAAAUUUAAUUUAUAUCAAUAUGUUGAUGAGUGUAUACAUGUGAUAACUAUGUGAUGAUACACAAUAUACUGUCUGUCAUCGUAAAGAAACGAUAGCACACGUGUUGUAAUAACCUGCGGUCAACUGGCGAGAACUUUACGUUGUGUUUGAAUAAAAUAUUUGAUUUAUGCAUGGUGGAGUUGAAAUAAUUGGUUGAAACUUUUCAUUUGUUAACUACCACCUUUGUUUCCUCGUGGACUUUUCCAUCAUGUAUGUUUUAUUUGUGGUUUUGUCAUUUAUCCAAUGUUUUGAAAAGAAGCGAAUCGAAGUAGUAAGCCACAGCUAAAAGAAAUUUUCAACACCUAUGCAGAGUUUGGCUUUUUAAUCACCACUGAGAUAUGACUGAAAUGUAUGCAACGCAACAGAAAACACCAAAGUUUCAGUUAACUGACUACAAGAGACGAUCUAAUUAAAUAUACUGCAUCAACAAUAUACAAAAUUAAAACUGUAUUUAAAUCAAGAUCCGUACAUUCUUGAAAUCAUAUAUUAUCAAACGUAGGUGCAUGACUAUUUUUACAUACGGGGAACAUUAUGCAGAUUUAUAUUUCUUAAAUUUGAAGCUUUGAAAGGUGACGAUAACGAACAGUGCUCAAUCUUAUAAGUCCCAUUAGCAAUACGAAUUAGAUAGUUGGACAAACAUGGAACCCUGGACACAGCAGAGGUUGGAUCAUGAAUGAACCGUACAUAUAUUCGUCAUAAUAAGCAUUCAUUGUUUGGGGAAAAAAUAUAGUAUUCAUAUUAUUUUUAUUUUUGGUUGCAUUGCUAAAUAGCGCAUUUGACCUGAGGGUAUAUCUAAUUUUCUACCAUGUCUUUAUAUGAGCAUUAUAUGUAGCCCUGGUUAUAUAUAUCAUGUUGUUGCGUUGUUGGAAUAUCACAGUACAAUAUUUACACGUUUUACAGGAUUGAGCAUGAGUCUUUUCAAACUAUAAUCCAAACUGUAAUAAAAUUCUAGAUACAUUGG